rnacentral:rRNA from 1 species
AUUGAACGCUGGCGGCAGGCUUAACACAUGCAAGUCGAGCGGGGGAAGGUAGCUUGCUACCGGACCUAGCGGCGGACGGGUGAGUAAUGCUUAGGAAUCUGCCUAUUAGUGGGGGACAACAUCUCGAAAGGGAUGCUAAUACCGCAUACGUCCUACGGGAGAAAGCAGGGGAUCUUCGGACCUUGCGCUAAUAGAUGAGCCUAAGUCGGAUUAGCUAGUUGGUGGGGUAAAGGCCUACCAAGGCGACGAUCUGUAGCGGGUCUGAGAGGAUGAGCCGCCACACUGGGACUGAGACACGGCCCAGACUCCUACGGGAGGCAGCAGUGGGGAAUAUUGGACAAUGGGGGGAACCCUGAUCCAGCCAUGCCGCGUGUGUGAAGAAGGCCUUAUGGUUGUAAAGCACUUUAAGCGAGGAGGAGGCUACUUUAGUUAAUACCUAGAGAUAGUGGACGUUACUCGCAGAAUAAGCACCGGCUAACUCUGUGCCAGCCGCCGCCGUAAGAC